GGUCAAACACCCCUUCCCUUUUCUCUUUCCUCUUCCACGAUUAACCCUAGCGCCGCCUAUGCUCGUCCCUUGCUCUCAUUGCCAAAAAUGGCAAACAAUGCAGAGGCCUUAGACCUCAACAACUUUUGCUUAUUCAAAUGCAUGCAACAAUCAAUGGUUCAUAAAUUUCUCACUCAAAAAUCGUUCCAAACAUGUUUGAGGGUGGAAGCACAAGGAGCUUCUUUGAAUCCAUUCUUGACAAAGGCUGCAUCGAAAAAAGCCUCCCUAUUGGGCCUAAGGACAAUCCUUUCAAAAUCUGCCGAAUAUAGGGAAGCUAAUAUAUAUAUAUAUGUCUGUGAAGGCCCAACCAUGGUUGAAAAUGGUUAAGGGGCUUGGUACACCCCAAGCUUUACUUGCUUUAUUUUGCGAUAUGCUAUGUUUAGUUUUCACAAUUUGUAUUUCUAAAACUCACAACAUUAUUGGAAAUCAAAUGGUUGAAACUAGACGUUUUAGGCAAACGGUACUUAGGCCGUUUAGUUUGACCUUAGGCUCCUUUCGCGAAUUUUCAGAACCUGUCUCGUUUUCUUAUUUUUAAAAGGGAUUUUAAAGGGGUAAAUCAACUGGGUUUUCAUAAAAUAAACUAAGCUUUUUUAGGAAAAUGGUAGAUGUUGGUAUGUCACGUUUUUUCACCAAAAUUAGUUGCCAUACAGUUUUUUUCAGAAGUAAAAAGAACACAUUGUUGUUUUCAUUAUAAAACCAGUUGUUAAAAUAUAGAGAUUUUGUGCAAGUCACGAUUAAUUUUUCUCAACCAAAAUGCUGCAAUUUAUUUGGAAGAAGCGGGCGUUUUUUUGGACUAAGUCCACGUAAACAAAAAACUGAGUUUUGGGCCAGAGCCCACCUAAAUUGCUAUAAGUCAAGAUUUUUGAUCGAAAACCAGUACUGAACGCUCUUUUCUUUUCAGAAACUGUAUGAACAAAAAAUGCAUUUUCUGGCCAGAGCCCAUUACAUAUUUAUUAAAAAAAUUGACAACCCUUUUAAACGGACACAAGUUUAUAUUGUUUUAAUCCUUUGCUCUCAACAAAUGUGUUGUCGUCUGUUAUCCUUUGCAAAUCCAUUCUUUUACGGUCCCAAGGUCGAACCAAGCUGGACUUUUAAGACAAAGUGCUAAAAACGUUUUUCCCUAAUAAAAUUGGAAACAUAUUCGUAAUCACAGAAUAAUAAGUAAAGCGUUUUGCGUAUAUAUAUGAUUAACCCGGAAACAUAUUCGUAAUCACAGAAUAAUAAGUAAGGCGUUUUGACGUAUAUAUAUAUGAUUAACCCGAACCAAGUGUGGAUUAAGGCAUGAACGAGAAAUAUGUAUAUAUAUACACUUUUUACUAUAACAAGAUAACUCCUUUUUUUUUUUUUUUUAACAAAAACUUACUUAUCCUCAUAUAUAAGGGGAAAUAUCUUCAUUUGGAUAUGAUAAGUCCAACCUAAAUAAGCCCAUAUAUAAGGGAACUACACCCAAUUCUUCCACAAAACUUGAUAUGCAAUAAAAGGACAGAUUUUGCGGUAAUCUUACACAAAACAAACAGUUCAUGCAAAUACUCACAUUGGAAUUCGAAGGUCAACCAUAUAGUACAGAUCCUAGGGUGCCUAACACCUUCCCUAGGGGAUCACUAGAACCCUUACCUAGAACUUUGUAUUAAGAAGGAUUUUUCACGGCGAUGAAUAAACCCUUCAAAACCGGUUUUCCUAAUUUCCUAAAAAUUAGGUGGCGACUCUUUUAAAACAAAGUCCGAAAGAGCACCAACGAUUUCGAAGUAGCUUUUUCCAAGCGUUAACCCUGCCCGCGAAAAAUGCGAACCGUUACAAUUGCAUCCAAGGUCGCUAAAGUCUCUAGUGACAUUCAUUUUAAAUGCUAAAAAAGACCCAUAUUAUUACCACUAAAAAUAAUUACUUUUAGCGGCAAUUACUAUAGCCACUAAAGUUACCUUCGAAAGCAACAUAUUUUGUGGCUUUUGUUAUUCCCGGUAAAAAUACAAUAAU